rfam:Loxodonta africana unplaced genomic scaffold scaffold_131, whole genome shotgun sequence.
AAGUGAAACAGUACUUAUACUAAAACUGGAACAAUACAGAGAAGAUUAGCAUGGCCCCCGCGCAAGGACGAUAAGCAAAUUUGUGAAGGCUUCUGUAAUUUU